rnacentral:rRNA from 1 species
AUUGAACGCUGGCGGCAGGCCUAACACAUGCAAGUCGAGCGGAUGAAGGGAGCUUGCUCCUGGAUUCAGCGGCGGACGGGUGAGUAAUGCCUAGGAAUCUGCCUGGUAGUGGGGGAUAACGUCCGGAAACGGGCGCUAAUACCGCAUACGUCCUGAGGGAGAAAGUGGGGGAUCUUCGGACCUCACGCUAUCAGAUGAGCCUAGGUCGGAUUAGCCAGUUGGUGGGGUAAAGGCCUACCAAGGCGACGAUCCGUAACUGGUCUGAGAGGAUGAUCAGUCACACUGGAACUGAGACACGGUCCAGACUCCUACGGGAGGCAGCAGUGGGGAAUAUUGGACAAUGGGCGAAAGCCUGAUCCAGCCAUGCCGCGUGUGUGAAGAAGGUCUUCGGAUUGUAAAGCACUUUAAGUUGGGAGGAAAGGCAGUAAGUUAAUACCUUGCUGUUUUGACGUUACCAACAGAAUAAGCACCGGCUAACUUCGUG